rnacentral:lncRNA from 1 species
AACUUGACACAUAAUAACUGCUCUGCUGUCCAAAAAAAUAAGGGUCUUAUUCUGAAGAGGUCACAGCCUAAUCAGAUGCGAUGUGGACUCAGAUGCAAGGGGAAAUGAAGAAGGAAAAUGCUGGACUCUUUGACCUCCGUGAUGACGUCACUGAUGACACUGAGGUGGUUUUACUGAAGUUUGCCCUAUUCAAGCACUGUGGCUAAGGAGCCUAAGCUGUCUUGUCAGAUCCUCACAGCCUUCUGAAGCAUCAAGGUGUAAGAGGGGUCAUUUUGCCUAGGAUAAUGCCAGGUUUCCUGCUCACCCUGUGUCCAUUGCUCUCGACUCUUGAGGCUGGAGAAAAUGCACUAAGUGGGACCUUGUUGCUGCUCAGAACCACAUUUUGGAAGACUUUAUUUGCUGAAAAUAUUCUGCUCAGCUUGAAUUCCAUGAACUUUGAGAAUCUUUUUCUCUGGCCCAGUCUAAACCAGAGAGAAAGAUUGGCUUCACAGAAGUGGAUUCACACCAGUCUGUUAGCUCUUUGUGCCACUCCAUAUGGCCCCACUCCUCACUAUUUGCAAAAAGUUGCCACAAACUACUAGAUGUGUUCAUCCAUAUCUUCUGAAGUGCGGUGGAGUAGAGAAGCCCUUGCACAGCUGUGCAGCUGUGCCAAAAUGUCUUCCUAACUUCUCAAAAGCCACAAGUAAGCUUACACCAGGAACAGCAUUGCUUCACUUUCUUCACCUGUAGCUUUGUUACACAAGUAUGCCUAAACACGUUGCUGAAGUUAUAUCUCUGAUAAGUCAUGGUUCAGGGACAUGCCUUGUCACACAACUCACCGUGGAAGGUGGGAGAGGUGACUGACUUCUUUCCGUUUGCACGGGGCCUGCAUCUCUUCCUGCAAGGAACCCCAGAGUUGGGGAAUCAAUUUAUUGUCUGAAUGGGAGCUCAAAGAUGAAGUAACCUUUCAGAAGAAACAAAACACUGAAGCAGUGUCUAGAAGGUAAGCAAUCUGCCGUUAGUUUUCUAUGUGUCCCUCUGCUGUCGCUUGAGACUGUAUUUCUGUGAGGUAUGGCGAAGAAGGCUUGCUAUUUCUCUGGGAUAGAAAUUGGGUUUGUUGGAAGAAUUAUGUUUCAGAAGUUUCUACUGUGAUGGCAGUAAGGUGGAGUGGAGGGAAGUUGUUCCUGGGUUUUUUUCUUUUGACUGAAUGAUCCCUUCAAAAUACAGUAUGGACUGAUUUAUUUGUCUGCACUGAUAUCAUUGGUA